rnacentral:misc_RNA from 1 species
GAUGAAGAACGUAGCAAAAUGCGAUACUUGGUGUGAAUUGCAGAAUCCCGUGAACCAUCGAGUUUUUGAACGCAAGUUGCGCCCGAAGCCUUUUGCCGAGGGCACGUCUGCCUGGGCGUCACGCAUCGCGUCGCCCCCCACAAAUUCUCCGUCAGGGGAGCUUGUGUUUCGGGGGCGGAUACUGGUCUCCCGUGCUCAUGGCGCGGUUGGCCGAAAUAGGAGUCCCUUCGAUGGACGCACGAACUAGUGGUGGUCGUAAAAACCCUCGUCUUUUGUUUCGUGCCGUUAGUCGCGAGGGAAGCUCUUCAAAAACCCCAACGCGUCGUCUCUUGACGGCGCUUCGACCGCGACCCCAGGUCAGGCGGGACUACCCGCUGAGUUUAAGCAUAUCAAUAAGCGGAGGA